ensembl:snRNA U5 U5 spliceosomal RNA
AUCUUGAUCAACUUUCAUAUAGUUUAAACCUUUCGCCUUUUGCUAAAGAUUUCCGUGGAGAGGAACAUUAUGAGUAUAUCCUAAUUUUUAGUGGUUUUGCUUAUUUAAACG